UCCUAGAAAAAAACCAAAUAAAAAAAAAAUCUUCAGUUAAAUGGCACAAUAUAUACCUAGUCUAUAAAUUGUGGUUUUGCUUCAUACUCUUACUCUUUUGACAGGCAUCAAAAGCUUUGUACAAGCUCACAUAUAUGCCGGCUAUGCUUGGCAAAUGGCCCUCUGCUAGAAGCAUUUCAGUUACCUGUUCACGGAAAGUGGGAGAACCAGACAGUAACAUUCAAUGGGGAUUCUGAAUUUCUUUGGCAACCAAACUCCUCACUCCAGUUUACUGUUGUGUCUUUGCAACUGCUGCAGACUAACAUGCAUUAUGAUCCAGAACUCCCCAAGUCAUACUUUUUCAUUUAGUUAUAAAGAGAAACAUUAAGAAAAUUAUAAAAUAUUUACAUAAAUAGGGAAGGGAAUAAGUAUACCAGUAACGCUUAUAAACUAGAAGAAAAAAAUUCACUGUAAUGUGUAAAGGAUUGAGGUCAGGUUGCUCACUCAGGACUCAGAACUUCCAUUACUUGCAGAGUACAAAAUAGUGACUGAACAUUAUAUUAUUGAGCUAGACUGAUUUAGCAUAGCCAGACAGUUUAAGGAAUAGGGUCACUGUAUGAAAAAUGUAAAGGUCUCUUAAUACCUCUCAACUAAAUAGAGUUUAACCCUCCAUUUAUCACAAAGGGAUCAAAAAACAAAUUGCUCUGAAAGCCAAGUCUGGAUUCUAAUGGGAACUUACAUUUCAGAAUCCCUGCUUGAGAACAUCCUACCAUUUGCACUGGGAUUUAUCAAAGGUUUGAAAGCCUCAGGAGUUAAACCAUGAGUUCUUACAGCUGUGCCAGAUUACACUUUUAGCUAGCUGCUGGAAAAGGUGCCUGUCUAAUUCAGCCAUCUUGAAGUCAAUGUUAUAAAUGGGAACUAAUAAGACCUCUCAGAACAGUGAAGGACUAGGGCUGUCUACAUUACAAUUUACUUAAGGCUUAAGAGGGCUAAAAAAAGCUGUCACAAGUUAGCUCCGGUUGCAUCACCACAGCAAUUUUUAUGCCAUUGUGCUUAUAUGCUUCCUUAUCACUGGGGAUUCUGUUUUCUCUGAUCAAAAAAAAA